CUCAGGAUUGGUGGAUUCUUGGCACAAUUUUAACCCCUGCGAAAUAAAUGUUGAAAAUCAAAAGCUGGUUCCUUCCUAUUUUGUGUGCAUCAUGCACCUUGUCGCGGGGCAUCUAUAUGCCUGUGCAAACAUACAUCUGGGAAGAAGCACUGGGAAUGCUGGAGAAAAGCAGGUCUGGUAGCAUCUGUGGAGGGAGAAAGAGAAGCUAAACUUUCUCGUGCAAUACGACUGCCAGAAACAGAAUCAACAUUUCAUAUUUCAACGUUAACUGUUUCUUCCUGCACAGAUGCUGCUCGACUUGAUCUGUAGCAUUCUCCUUUACAGAUUUACUACCAGCACCAAUCUGUAGGAAAGAAUUUUAAAUCAAGCUUCAUGUGAAUCAUCUUUUCUAAAAAUCAAAACAAAAUGCAGGAAAUACAUUAAAAGAUAACUCACCAGAACUGGAUACAGUACUCCAGAAGAGGCCCCUCACCAGUGUCCUAUACAACCUUAACAUGACUUCCCAACUCCUUUACUCCAAAGGACUAAGCAAAGAAGGCCAGCAUGCUAAACAUCUUUUUAACCAACCUUACUAUAUGUGACAAAUACUUCAAAGAAUUAUGUAGCUGAACCUCUGGACUCUGUUCUACAACACUACACAAGGCCUUACCAUUAAUUGUGUAAGUCCUCCCUUGUUUGUUGUACAAAAAAUGCAAUACUUUGCAUUUAUCCAGACCAAACACCAACUGCCAUUUUACAGUCAUUGACACAUUUCAUCAAGAUCCCUUUAUAAUCUUCAAAAACCAUCUUCACUGUCUGCUAUGCCACCAAUUUUGAUGUCAUCUGCAAAUUUACUAACCAUACUUUCUUUAUUCUCAUCCAAAAUCAUUAAUAUAAAUGAUAAACAAUAGAGGAACCAGAAUUUAUCCCUGUGAAACAUCACAGGUAACGGGCCUUCAGUCCCAAAAGCAACUCUUCACCAUUACUCUGUCCCCUGCCAUUAAGCCAAUUGUGUAUCCAACAGGCAAGCUCACCCCAAAUACCAUGUGACCUAACUUUAAUAAUUAGCCUACUUUGCAGAACCUUGACAAAGGCUCUACUAAAGUCCAAGUAAACACUACAUACUGCUCUGCCUUCAUCAAUUCCUUUUAGUAACUUCCUCAAAAAACUCAAUCAAAUUUGCAAGACAAUUUUCCUCACACAAACAUGCUGACUAUCCCUAAUCAAUUUUUGCCUUGCUAAACAUCCAUAAACCCUAUCUUUCAAAAUCACCUCCAACAAUUGUAUCCACAACCAAAGUCAGACUCACAGGUCUACAGUUUCCUGGUUUCUCUUGACAACCUUUCUUAAAGAAAGGUACAACUUUAGCCACCUUUCCAGUCAUCAGGCACAUCAUUCCCCCACCACCUAUGCACCUCCAUUGUUCAUAGAUGAUGCAACUAUUUCUACAAGGAGUGACCAAGUCAGGGUGGCACAAGUGGAAUGAACUUCCAGAGGAAGUAGUGGAUGCUGGUACAAAUUCAACAUUUAAAAGACAUUUGGUUAAUUGCAUG